UCGCUGUCCAAAAAUAAAACUGCUGGAUGAAAGUCUGGUUACGUGUUCAUUAAGAGAAGAGUGAAUAUUUUUAUACUCUGCCUUUUUCAUUCGGAUCAGCUACUAAAACUGCAAUGUCAGAAUAACCCGUGUGUCUUCGUUCUGCCUGAUAACGUGAGACUGACAGCACAUUGAGAGAAUAAGCUUUUAACACUGUCUUGUACGACUGACAUCAAACGUCACACUGGAAUCCGGCAUCCAUGCGCGCUUCUUGCGCAGCAAUUACAAACACCAUGCUUUCUACAUGUGAUCAGCGGCCAAGCAGCGAAGAAGAACUCCGCCUCUGGAAGCCGUACACGUGGACUUUGACAUGGUCCUGGUAGUAAAGAGCCAGACUGCUGAUAGAUCAGUAAUGGAAGAGUCAUCAUAACAUUGGACUGUUGGAGGUUUUGCAAUGGCAACAACAUGUGAAAUGGCAUGUCCAAUCAGGAUCAGAGACUUCAGUAUAA